UAGGGAAUCUUCGGCAAUGGACGGAAGUCUGACCGAGCAACGCCGCGUGAGUGAAGAAGGUUUUCGGAUCGUAAAGCUCUGUUGUAAGAGAAGAACGAGUGUGAGAGUGGAAAGUUCACACUGUGACGGUAUCUUACCAGAAAGGGACGGCUAACUACGUGCCAGCAGCCGCGGUAAUACGUAGGUCCCGAGCGUUAUCCGGAUUUAUUGGGCGUAAAGCGAGCGCAGGCGGUUAGAUAAGUCUGGAGUUAAAGGCUGUGGCUUAACCAUAGUACGCUUUGGAAACUGUUUAACUUGAGUGCAGGAGGGGAGAGUGGAAUUCCAUGUGUAGCGGUGAAAUGCGUAGAUAUAUGGAGGAACACCGGUGGCGAAAGCGGCUCUCUGGUCUGUAACUGACGCUGGGGCUCGAAAGCGUGGGGAGCAAACAGGAUUAGAUGCCCUGGUAGUCCACGCCGUAACGAUGAGUGCUAGGUGUUGGGUCCUUUCCGGGACUCAGUGCCGCAGCUAACGCAUUAAGCACUCCGCCUGGGGAGUACGACCGCAAGGUU
rnacentral:rRNA from 1 species